UGAGAAAGACUUAGUGGUGUGGGUUUCUGACUUAAUGAGAUUGUAGGGCAUGUACUGUUGGGGUACAUGGUUUCACGAAAUCAAGAGAGAAUGAAGAGGAAAUAAAGAAAUGGAGAAUGCAUGGGGUUGUGGUUCUAGGUAUAGGAAAAGAUGGGAGAGAAUUAAUAUUAGUAGAGGUGGAGAUAAAAGAACAUAAAGGUAAAAAGGAUUUAUGUUUUGGUCUUUGGGUGAAGAAAAUAAAAGGGGAAGAAGAGGGGAGGAGUGAAGUAAGUGAUGAAAAAAAUGGAUGCGUGUGGAAUGCAAUACAUAGUUAAGUAAUUUUAGAGGAUGAGAGAAUGAGUUACUGGGUUUUGAUAGUUAAAGAGAAAGGUUAAUGAUUCUAGAAAGUAGAAGAGAGAAUAAAAAGAUUUAAUUAAUGGAAGAGGGUAAAAAAAAUAAAAAAAUGGGAUUCAAUUGAGAGAGAAGGUAAAAGAAAUUAGAAAUGGUUAUUUAUUGGAGUUAAGAAAAAAAAAAAGAGCAGCUCUUGGCAGGCUUCUAGUGGAAGGGGCACAUGGAAGAAUCGAACAUACAUCGAAAUGAGAGGAUCUAGAGACUGUAUAGGUAUGGGACUAUAUAGUUGAAGGAUAGCUUAAAGGAAUUGAUUUGGCUACUCAUAUCAACAAAAUGCAUU
rnacentral:lncRNA from 1 species